GAGACAGGGACGAGGCAGAGCAUGGGAUGGGGCCAUCAACAAAAUUUCCAAUUUCCGUUUGCUUGCUCACAAAACGAAGGUGCCUGCCUCCCUGGUGAUGGCCUGACCUGAGAGGGCUGAGAGCUCAGCUGGUGUCCUGGUGUUGUUGCUUCCACCCCUGCACUGCCUCUUCCCUGGCUC
rnacentral:pre_miRNA from 1 species